rnacentral:tRNA from 1 species
UUUAAGCUAGUUUAAAGAAUAUAGGUUUGUCAGAUCUAAGGUUAUGCUUGAAU